GCCUGGGUGGCUCAGUCAGUUAAGCAUCCGACUUCGGCUCAGGUCACGAUCUCGCGGUUCGCGGGUUCGAGCCCCGCGUCGGGCU
rfam:Felis catus isolate Cinnamon breed Abyssinian chromosome A2, whole genome shotgun sequence.